rnacentral:rRNA from 2 species
GCAUGCCGCGGUGAAUACGUUCCCGGGCCUUGUACACACCGCCCGUCACACCACGAGAGUUUGUAACACCCGAAGUCGGUGAGGUAACCUUUUAGGAGCCAGCCGCCGAAGGUGGGACAGAUGAUUGGGGUGAAGUCGUAACAAGGUAGCCGUAUCGGAAGGUGCGGCUGGAUCACCUCCUUUCUAAGGA